AAAAAAAUGGUAACAAAGGCUUGGCCCUCUGGCCUCACCGCGCAUGCGCAGUAUCUGCCACACACGUGUCAGUAGCCGGAGUGUUGCUUUGAGCUGUCUUUGUCCUUACAAGCUCUAAACAGCCCCUACCACCCCAUCAGUCCCGACUACAGCGUUGGACAACUCAGCUCUGCUAGACGACCGCCGAGCCGACCUGUCUCGUUGCAGUGCUCUCCUACGAGCGAUCCCAUGGCCGACGACCCAGACGUGGUGCCGGCAUUCUCCCAAGAGCAAAUGGACUACAUGGAGCGGAACUUCACGAGAAUCCGAAUCUCCGACCCGGUGCCAGACCCAGCUGUGGAACUUCCAGCACCCGGUGAGGGAUUAGCACUAGGGGAUUGGCUUUGUUCACUCGAUGUCAAGAACGGAAGUUAAAAUUUAACCACAACACACCCCUCGAAUUCUUCAGCAGUUGCACUGGGACACUGGGCACAACAAUAGGUCAACAUAAUCAUGGAGUAGUGGAUGAUGUUGAAUGCCUCCUAGAGCUGCACAGCUCUACUGUACUAUGAGUAUAAUUAUUAUUGGUACCAGGACUUCAGUGAGCAAGGUGCAGGUGCAGGUGCAUGGACGAUGAACAGACUCACAUUGUUACCAAACAGCCAUUCACUCGGAUCUAGGCAUCAAAGUUUGCAGCUCUAAAGCAAGUACUCUUGGGAAAGAAAGUGGAGACAACAAAAUGUAGUAACAUAAUUAUUAUGCUGUUCAACAGAUUAUCACGGAUAAAGGCACUAAGACAGGCUAAGGAGAAAUUACUGGAAGAAAACGCUCCUGCGGUCCAUCUAAUCUCAGCCACAAAGCAGUAAAUUCUUUGUUUCACUACACGCUUUAAUGAAUGUACCUGCAUGUAAAUGCAUGAGAUAUAAAUGAUUGAUUAUGACAAACAGGGAGAAAGAGGUACAACGAAUACUACUCUGAGAAGAUUGUCUUGGUUACAAGAUAUACCUGCAUUGUGCCGGUGAAUAUCAAUGAUUAAGUUGCGUAUUAACUGUUUAAACGCAGUUUCUAUAUAAUUAUAAUUAUGUUGACAGCAUAAUUUCUUGCGUAUACUACCGCAUGACUGUCUUUGCAUGUUUGACACAAACCACAACCUUCUUUUACAUUCAGAGCAUUCGUUGCACCUCUUUUUCUCCUCUUUUCUCCCUGUUUGUCAUAAUCAAACAUCCCAUUUAGAAAGUAUACGUAUGUACAUUCAUAAAACGUGUAGUGAAACAAAUCUGCUUUGUGGAUGAGACUAUAGAUGAAGCGUUUUAUUCCAGUAAUUAUUCCUCGGUGCGCAUGUGCAAGCGAGGUAUACGGUAGUGUGUUUGUGUCUGUGUGUGUGUGUAGACUGCUACAGCUGCUCAAGGAUCAAUGAAGUGCAAGUAAGAGUUUCUAUAGGCUUCUAGUCAUGGAUUUUAAUUCGUGGAUUUGCAAAAUAAUGCUUUGUUCUCGAGUUAUGCCUAGUUUUGCUUAUUUGGAAUGCCAUUGCAGCCUUUUCAGAAGAGCACGUAGCCAAACUUGUUUACCGAGUGUUGCUACUCUAUACUUAGUAGUUAGCUCUGCACUAGAACGCUAUAGCUAUUGGUAGCUGCAAGAGUGAGAAGAGAGCUGCACGGCUCUGCUGAUGGCAGCCAUUAGACUUAAACUUUUGGCAUCGAUCGUUCUUAACAAAAAUAUAUGGUAUUCAUUACCCACUCUUAGAGUUUGCAUGCAGCAAAUUAAUUAAUUAAAACUGUUCGUCAUGUGUACGUGUAUAAAAGCUAUUUCUUUAUGUUAUGUAGCUUUGGCAUCUCCACCGAGGCAUCAGCACCUGCGGUGCUUUCAUUUUUCCUUAGCAAAAUGUAUCAAGAAUGCAUGUAUCAAGUGAAAUGUGAUGACAUAAUACCUGCAUGUCUUAGUGCCUUAUCAUGUCUCCGAGAGUAUCGUAUGUUACUACAUUUUGUUGUCUCCACUUCUCUGUUAAGAAUACGCUAGAGCUGCAAUUUUUGUUGCCUUUGUUUUCUAGAUCCGAGUGAAUGGUUGCUGGGUUCAAUGGCAACAGCAAAUGAUGGAAAGUAUCAACUCAUAUACAUGAAUGUGUGCUGGACAGCCCACUUUGUGUGUACGCGUGUAUCUUGGAGAUGUGUUCGACUAGAUGUUGAAGUAAAGUACCGUGCUGACCAAACUACUGACAUGGCACCGCAAUGCUGCUUUUGAAUGCUCGAAACAAUAAAGGGAUGCUAUCGAAUAUUAUUUAAUUGCCCUGAAUGGUUACCUACAAAUUAAUCAUGUUCAAUAUUUCUAUUUCAAUGUUAUUUUGGUAACAAUGGGUGAUCUGUUUUCGUCGUCCACCUGCACCUGUUUCUAUAUAGCUUGCUCACUGGAGUCCUGGUACCAAUGUACUCAUAGUAGUCUACUUAGUAAAGUACAGCUGAAAGCCUCCUAGAGCUGUACAGUACAGCUCUAGGAGGCUUUCAGCAUCAUCCACUACUCCUUCAUGAAUGUUGUGCCCUGAAGCUUAUAAUUAUGUGAAGAAUUCGAGGGGUGUGGUUGUGGUUAAAUAACUUCCGUUCCUGACAUCGAGUGAACAAAGCC